rnacentral:rRNA from 1 species
CGGGUGAGUAAUGCGUGACCAACCUGCCCCAUGCUCCAGAAUAGCUCUUGGAAACGGGUGGUAAUGCUGGAUGCUCCAACUUGACGCAUGUCUUGUUGGAAAGUGUUUAGUGGCAUGGGAUGGGGUCGCGUCCUAUCAGCUUGUAGGCGGGGUAAUGGCCCACCUAGGCUUCGACGGGUAGCCGGCCUGAGAGGGCGGACGGCCACAUUGGGACUGAGAUACGGCCCAGACUCCUACGGGAGGCAGCAGCC